GAUGAGCCCGCGGCCUAUUAGCUAGUUGGUAGGGUAACGGCCUACCAAGGCGACGAUGGGUAGCCGGCCUGAGAGGGUGUACGGCCACACUGGCACUGAGAUACGGUCCAGACUCCUACGGGAGGCAGCAGUGGGGAAUUUUGGACAAUGGGCGCAAGCCUGAUCCAGCAAUGCCGCGUGCAGGAUGAAGGCCUUCGGGUUGUAAACUGCUUUUGUACGGAACGAAACGGCUCUUUCUAAUAAAGAGGGCUAUGACGGUACCGUAAGAAUAAGCACCGGCUAACUACGUGCCAGCAGCCGCGGUAAUACGUAGGGUGCGAGCGUUAAUCGGAAUUACUGGGCGUAAAGCGUGCGCAGGCGGUUAUGUAAGACAGAUGUGAAAUCCCCGGGCUCAACCUGGGACCUGCAUUUGUGACUGCAUAGCUAGAGUACGGUAGAGGGGGAUGGAAUUCCGCGUGUAGCAGUGAAAUGCGUAGAUAUGCGGAGGAACACCGAUGGCGAAGGCAAUCCCCUGGACCUGUACUGACGCUCAUGCACGAAAGCGUGGGGAGCAAACAGGAUUAGAU
rnacentral:rRNA from 1 species